rnacentral:misc_RNA from 1 species
UAAUAAGUGUUUUAUGGCACUUUUUAAAUCCAUAUCCACCUUGUGUGCAAUGUCAGUCGAUUCUUUCUUCAUGAGAGAUCGACCAAACAUCAACUUAUUCUAUUAACUCUUUGUCUGAAAACUAUUAUGAAUAAACUAAUUCAAAAUA